rnacentral:misc_RNA from 1 species
GAUGAAGAACGUAGCGAAAUGCGAAAAGUAAUGUGAAUUGCAGAAUUCAGUGAACCAUCGAAUCUUUGAACGCACAUUGCGCCCGCUGGAACUCCGGCGGGCACGCCUGUCCGAGCGUCAUUUCAACCCUCAGGCCCCCCUUCGCGGGCGGGCCUGGUGUUGGGGCCCGGCCGCUACCCUGCGGCCGUCCCCUAAAUCCAGUGGCGGCCUCGCCGUGAUCCCUUGCGUAGUAAUGCACCUCGCACCGGAGAGCGCCGUGGCCACGCCGUAAAACCCCCAAUUUUCAAUGGUUGACCUCGGAUCAGGUGGGAAUACCCGCUGAACUUAAGCAUAUCAAUAGCGGAGA